rnacentral:antisense_RNA from 1 species
CUUCACCGACCCCAGCCACAACGGCCGAUCAGCAGCGUGCGCACGCCCAUACGUCGCCAUCAACGCCUGCGCCUC